AGAGUUUGAUCCUGGCUCAGGAUGAACGCUGGCGGCGUGCAUAAUACAUGCAAGUCGAGCGAACGGACGAGAAGCUUGCUUCUCUGAUGUUAGCGGCGGACGGGUGAGUAACACGUGGAUAACCUACCUAUAAGACUGGGAUAACUUCGGGAAACCGGAGCUAAUACCGGAUAAUAUUUUGAACCGCAUGGUUCAAAAGUGAAAGACGGUCUUGCUGUCACUUAUAGAUGGAUCCGCGCUGCAUUAGCUAGUUGGUAAGGUAACGGCUUACCAAGGCAACGAUGCAUAGCCGACCUGAGAGGGUGAUCGGCCACACUGGAACUGAGACACGGUCCAGACUCCUACGGGAGGCAGCAGUAGGGAAUCUUCCGCAAUGGGCGAAAGCCUGACGGAGCAACGCCGCGUGAGUGAUGAAGGUCUUCGGAUCGUAAAACUCUGUUAUUAGGGAAGAACAUAUGUGUAAGUAACUGUGCACAUCUUGACGGUACCUAAUCAGAAAGCCACGGCUAACUACGUGCCAGCAGCCGCGGUAAUACGUAGGUGGCAAGCGUUAUCCGGAAUUAUUGGGCGUAAAGCGCGCGUAGGCGGUUUUUUAAGUCUGAUGUGAAAGCCCACGGCUCAACCGUGGAGGGUCAUUGGAAACUGGAAAACUUGAGUGCAGAAGAGGAAAGUGGAAUUCCAUGUGUAGCGGUGAAAUGCGCAGAGAUAUGGAGGAACACCAGUGGCGAAGGCGACUUUCUGGUCUGUAACUGACGCUGAUGUGCGAAAGCGUGGGGAUCAAACAGGAUUAGAUACCCUGGUAGUCCACGCCGUAAACGAUGAGUGCUAAGUGUUAGGGGGUUUCCGCCCC
rnacentral:rRNA from 1 species